CAGGUUUUUGUCUACCUGCAAAAUGCCAGGUGAGAGGGGGCCUUAAACUUUGCUCAGAGAAAGGACACAGGAGAUGCUCAAUGGCAAACAGUGGAAGGAAAACAUGGAGGAUGCUGGUUGGCUGACCCAAUCAGAGGUUCUGGUCAUGUGCUGCUACUGAGGUAGGAGUUUUCCAACCCUCCAUCCCAUGCCCAAAUGGGUGGGUUAUAUUAUGUUCAGUGCACAUACAAUCUGAGUAUGUGACUGUAAGUCCAUCAGCGUUGAUGAAAUGCUAAUGUUCCUGGUCUAAAACCCAGAAAUGGAGACUGUCUGGAAUCCAUGUGCCUUACGAUCUACAUUACUGUAGCGGUUAGCUGGAGAAAAGUGCUAUUGUUCUGCUCAUUCCUGCACCACAGCACCACCAUCGCAGAGGGCAACUAGAGGCUUAUAUCUUCACUCUUCUGGGUAAAGACUGGUCUAAUGGAGUGAAGGCAAAAGGCAGUACAUGACCAACAGACAUCACUUGUAAGGUUACAGCAUAUGUGAGCUAAGCUAUCUGUAUACAGCAAGCUUCGUUGCAGGACUUCAUAGAUACCCAGAUCAGGAGGUAGAAGGUGCUCAACCCUUCUGUCAACAAUGCUCAGUCUUUCAGUUCUCAUUUGGGGACCCUCAGUUCCUUGCAAGCCACAAAUCUCGGGGCUUGGAGUCUUCCUCAACUGCUGAUCUCCAAGCUCUUGGUUCCAACUCAAGGCAAAGAUGCAAGACAGUAAAAGCAGAGCCGCUGGAGACCCCUUAAUUUUUGUGUGCGUGAUCAUAAGCAUUGGUGUUGAGGAGGAAACGGAGUCAAUAUAAUCAGUCUUUGCCUCCAUGGGAAUUGGAAGUCCUUCAGAAUCACUCAGCCGGUCAUUACCCAGGCCAUGCAAAUGGACAUGGUGCAUGUGUGGCAGUCUAAAAAAUGGCCAGCGCCACCGGAGAAAGGGCAGGAACCAAACCAGGCCUGGUCCAGCUCAAAAUCAAGCCCUCAAGCUGGACCAGUUCAACGGCAAACCAGCUCAACCUCAAACUGGUUCACACAUCCCUAAAAGAAAGGCAUAACUGUGGGAAGCAGGGUACUAGGUUAGAUAUGCCUUUGGUCUGAUCUGGCGGGGUUCUCUUUAUGCAGUUUUGAAGCUCAGUGAGCAUUCGUGUAUUGUUCUUUGAGGUCUCCUGUCUCCUUUGUUCCCCUGCUAGUAACUUCUUUUCUUUCCUUCCUAAUGUAGAAUUUUGUACGAAGAAACCUAAUCUGGAAAUAGCACAAAAGCAGGGAGGAGGGGGCUGUUAAGAGACAAAAUCAUAUCCAGGUUUCCAAAUCUGCUGUCUGAGAUACAUUAAGGAUGAUUAGAUGCCAAUUGUUCUCAAUCACAAUCCUGAAAACAUAACAAAAAAGACAGCAUCUCUGUUUCUGAAUAUUUGCCACCCCAAAUUGCAGCUGUGGAAGGAACAUGGUACAUGGGCAAAUUACUGAUUGCUGGAAACUUCUAAAUGUUAAUUCAGCUGAGACUGAGUUUAAUUAGUUUUUAAAAGCACACACAAAGAAACAUACAUAAAUAGAUAUUACAAAUUGCACCCCAUUUCCAGCACUCUGAUCCAUCACUGUGCAGGACUGAGAGCUUCUGGUUCCCAAACAAUGAAACUCAUUACUUUGCUCUGGUGUCAGCAACAAACCUGGGUCUAAUUCACACAAUCAUUUGAAUCUAGCUUUAACGUGGGUUACCAACAUUAGUGUGGUUGUGUGAACCCAACCCACACCAAGGUUGUUUAUGCCAUGGCCCAAGAUGAAUCUGGAGUUCUCACGUUGGAAUGGGUUCAUACAAUCAUGCUAAUGUCAGUAACACAGUAAACCUGGAUUCAAAUAAUUUUGUGAACCUGGCCCUUAUCUACUA